AGAACGCAGCGAAAUGCGAUACGUGGUGCGAAUUGCAGAAUCCCGUGAACCAUCGAGUUUUUGAACGCAAGUUGCGCCUGAGGCCAGCUGGCCGAGGGCACGUCCGCCUGGGCGUCAAGC
rnacentral:rRNA from 1 species